CUAACACAUCGCAUCCACCGCGAGGAGAGGGAGAGGACGCCACCGCAACGUCUGGGAUGAUUGACGGAAAGCCCUGGUGCCUUGAUGCUUGUCACCAGGCCGUAAAGUUUGCGUCUGAACUCCCCUCGGGAUGGAUGGCGAUUGACGGGAUACAGAAACUCUUCCCAUGAACGGAAACAACACGAACAAUGUCGUGAGGUGCCAUGACGAGAAGGAGUGACUGAGAGGAUCGUCCACAAGAUGGAAGCUGAGGCCAGGAGAGAGGCUUCAGGAGUAUUGGAGAUCACCUUCGGCACAGAGAGCUGUGCUACUGGGCUUCCAGGAGAUCGUCAUGAGGAGACUCUGCACAGCAAAAUCUUAAAUGAGAUAAAAGAGUUUCGACGUUGAGGAAGACAACUAAGGUGUACGACGUGCUCUGCCUUUAAAAUCUUCAGCAACAUUGAAUCAUGAGAACUUGAGGGAGCGUGCCAAGCUCCAAAAAGUGACAGUGCAGAGGAGGUCCAGCGAUAGACUUGUGGUUCUGUGAACAGCACAAAUGCCAGGUGACUGUGAAAUAACUAACAGCACUUUUUUCCACAAGUGAAGCCAGUAACUUACUAUCCUAACAGAUUAGCUCUAGUUGCUUGUGCUUUACCUCCAUGCGUGAGAUCAGUAUGUGCAGCAGCUUAAGCUGUACAAUGUUUCUGGAUAUAGUUUUUCACCUUUUUGACACUGUUAGUUCCACACGAGGUAGAGGUCUUCUACUGCAGACUAAAAUUACAUUUCUGUCACCUACAAGACACUUGUCUUUAAUGUUACUGUUACUCUCAUAACCAUACAUAACCAUAAAGUGGUGCUGUCAGGGGAAAAUUCCCAAAUAGAAAGCUGCCAAAGUAAAACAGAGACACAGUGAGACAAUAUAAAAAAUCAUAUGUACAAUGGGUGAACUCUCAGGAGAGUCACACAGUGCUCUUCUUUAUUGUAGGUUACACAGCAGACGGAGGCAGUCUCCGCCUAUUCUCAGAAUAUAUUGCUUAACUGACAAAUGCAUAUCUUACUAAACAUUCUGUCCGUACUAUACUAAACGUCUGCUUAAUGUAGUGAAGUAGAUUUUGGGUUAGGAUGUUACAUGAUGUCCCUAAACGCACCACUGACAUCCACACCUUUCAGCCGACAAUUACCUGGCUAUAAGAAACAGCUGCGCUUCACUACUGAGAGAAGGCAUUUGGCAGUCUUGGCAAUCUAAGGUGGCUGCAGCACUAGGCAGUUGAGCUCCACAUAUCUCUUAAGGAAAGCUACUCAGUUGCCCUUAGAGAGUGUGGAGGUGCGGCCGCUUGUUCAGAGGCUAGGCACAUGAGGUGGAAUCCCCUCCCCGAUGCAUGCGAGUGUACACACCGGGCAUAGGCAGAUUGCACCAUUUAGAGUUUAGUGUGAGUGAGGUUUGCUGUGAAAUCACACGGGUGAGUAAUUGGUGGCACCCUUGGGCACUCCUCCCUGUAGGUUGCCUCCUCAAGUGGCCGGUCUCCACCAUUUUGUCUAGUUGCCUCUUUUAACAUAUUGUGCUUGUUUUAGUGUAGCAUUGUGGUAGGGAGUAUGUCGUUUUAAUCAUUGUUCGGUAAUAAAGUGUUUUAAUUAUUUUACUCUCUUACCCCUGCUACCCUAGGUGCCUUUUUAAUCUUUUAGUUAUGUUUUAGUAGUUCCUCUAAAUAAACUUUUGAAUUAUAAACUUUCUUUGUCUCACCUCUGCCUUUAAAUAACGAGUCUGUGGGCUUUGGUAGCCAGUGCAAUCUUCUCAUUGGCUAGAGAAAUCUUUCCUGGGGUUGUAGCGCCCUCCCCCAGGUGGCGUUGUCACUACUUUAGUAACCGUCCCCGGUUAUCUCAUUUUCGCGACACCACAUUAAGUGGCAUUUUCCGUUGUUCUUUGCACAGGAACUUGUCUUCACAGGCAUUUGAUAAGCAUAGGCAAGGUUUCAUGUUUUAUCAGGGUGAAUCGUCAUUCAGAGUUUACACAAUCACAAGCAAAGCAUAUUUGAAUAAUAAACAAAAUCUUUUCACAGGUGCACAAUUCUGAAUCUGUCAAACCUUUUGCCAACGAAAGAAGAGGGCACUCCUCAUGAGUGUAGAGACCACGUAGAGAAGGAGUGUAAGCCAAGGGAUGACUUACUAGAUGUGCCACUUGGUGAGGGAAAGGUUUGGUUUGUUGAUGGUUUGAGUUUUACAACAGUAGAGGGACAGACUAAAACAGGUUUUACUGUAGUAGAUAGUGAGAAAGUUAUCUGUGCAGGACAACUAGCAUGUUUCAUAUUUGCUUGAGCAGCAGAGAUGCUAGCUUUAACGGAAGCAUGUAAAGCUGCAGAGAAAUAAGAUGUGACAAUAUACACUGAUAGCCAGUAUGCAUUUGCUACGUUACAUUUCUUUGUGGUGCAGUGGGUGAGACGAGGUGUGACAGCCUCUACAGGGAAACCUGUAGAACACGCCAAACUCUGCAAAAUCUGCUGGAGGCAGAGUUUUUACCCAGUAGGAUUGCCGUUUGUAAAUGUGUAGCACACAUGUGACGGCAAGAUCCAGUUGCAUUAGAGAAUGCUUUUGCAGAUAAGAUCGCGAAAGAGGCAACUUUAGGAGAACAUGGUGUUAACGUUUUAGCAGUGCAACGCCAGCAGACGUUGGCUAUUAUGCGUGAUGCACUGGUAGACAUGCAGGGCCACUCAUCUACUGCAGGGAAACAGUUGUGAUUUACAGUAGGAGCGAGCCUGUAGGAUGGUGUUUGUUAUCUGUGUGAUAAACCAAUACUGCCUUAGAAUUUGUAUAAGACUGCUGCUAUUUUGCGCCAUGGGCUUUGCCAUGUCGCAACAGGAGGGAGAUAAUGAGUAGUUUAUACUUUACAAUUAAAUACCCUUAACAAAAUAAAUAAAUAAAUUUUUGCAGGUCAUGUAUGAUAUGUUCAAGCACAAUUCUCGGCGUAAUUUGAGAUCUAAGAGAGGGAAAUUCCCCAGACCCAGUCACCCAUUUCAAGUUAUUCACAUGGACUAUAGAGCUGUCCAGCUGUAAUAACUAUGAGUAUUGUUUAGCGAUGAUGGUUCACAUUUUGUAAAUGAAGUGAUUGGAUUAAUGGCACAACAUCUAGGGAUAACACUAAAAACGUCAUUGUUCAUAUCACCCACAAAGUGCAGGGUUGGUAGAGAGAACUAAUGGAAUAGUAAUGUUAAGACUUAGGAAGAGACACGCAGGACAUGGUUAAACUGUAUAGAAUUAGUUAAGAUGUACAUGAGGAUUACUCCAACAGAGAAUGGUUUGACUCGUUGAGAUUAUAUAUGUUAGAGUAUUUAGAGUUCUAGUCUUCUGUAGUGAUGAUAGGAGAGCAGAAGAGAGAGCAUAUUAGCAGAUUAGAUGCUUAAAAUGUUUAAAAGUAAAGAAGUCUUGAGAACAAAUGAUCUGCCAGAUGAUUCUGUUUCUCCGCAGGAGCAGAGUCUGAAGUCUGGAGAUUGGAUGUUGACAAGGCCAUGGAGAGGAAGUCCUGGUCCAGUCCACGGUGGGAAGGUCCAUAUCGGAUGCUGCUGACGACGACCACAGCGGUGAAGUUGCUGGAAGGAACGCUUGGAUACAUCAAGCGCACUGCAAGAAGGUGACACACAUCCAGGCCAGCUCGGGGUAAGUGGCAGGAAGACCGGGUACAAAGGGGGGGGAAAGCCUCCAGGGCCCCUCGUCUCAAUCCGGUGAAGAAACCAACUGAGCCACAGGUACUCAUCAGAAUGGCUGGGAAUGUGCUGUGCGCCUUGUGCCUGUUAACUCUGAGUGGGAUGACAGGAGCGCACUGGGACAGAGCAAACCACACCCAGUACCCGCAUGGGGUUUUCAACAACUACUGGUGGCAGUUUGUGAACACAACCGCUCACAUAAAGAACAAGACCAAUGGUUAUGCUUGUGAUGCCACUGUCUACACAUUCUUCUGGACUGUGGCCAUAUAGCAUCACUGAGAGUGAGACAGUUUGUUGGUUGCCGUAGCGACACAUCCAGGAGUAAACGUUCUUGGAACACUGCCAACUUUUCAACUUCUGAACCUGACUGGACGGUUGAUUCACCAGUAGCUGGGAAGGUGAACUGCUCUGGUGCGAUAGACCUGAUAGUCUGACUCCAAGUGUCUGACUUGCUGCAGGACAUUGAACAGCUAAAUGAACGGGAAAUAGGCCAGUUGCCUAUGUGUAUGAAGGGCAAUGGAUUAGUCCAAGUUGGAGAUUUACCAUGAAAUCUGAGCAACGUCACCUAUUCUUUGUGUCCUCUGCAAGAAGGAUGCAAACAGAGAAGCUUUUGUCUACAUUUGCAUCAUGAACACUUCUCUAAGCUGGUUGAGGUUGUGAGCCAAGAAGAUCAAAACAGCUUGAUCCAAUUUCCUUUACAAAGCUUUUCCUGUGGUGACAACAGGACAGGACAAGAGUUGUAAAUGCGGAUAAUUUACCAGUUGACUCUAACCCCCAUAGGAUGCCUAUAGUGAGAAGAUUCGGGGGGUUGAUAGGAGUCAUAAAGAAGGGUGUUGACCAGGCUACAGCUUUGAAGUUAGCUGAGAGCCACAUGGACAAACGAUAAAGUCAACUGAUGUGUUUGAAUGUCUAUGUCUGUAUACAGUUGGAUUGUAGUGACAUUUGAUUUUUGAGAAUGUUGAUUCUUCUUGUUUGACUGUUACAUUCAGUUGUUUACUUGCAGGAAUACAUAAUGAAUCGCACGACAGGAGUAGAUGCACCACAAGGCUGGAUAACUUGGUGAAUGUCUGGUCCUUGGUGGCAUCUUCUUUUGAAAAUAUUAAUUCCUGUUUUUGGACUGUUGACACUGAUUUGCUUACGUAUAGGAUGUAGUUUACUGUGUAUGAGAUCAAUGAGAAGCAGGUUAACUGCUUACAUGUAUUAACUGUGAACUUUUGCAUCGAUAGAAGGUGAAUGAAGAGGAGUUGUGUAUGAAUGAAAUCUACACUGUCACUGUCCAAACAAAGGGUGCAUAAGUUGAAAUUUAAGUAUAUACAAUGACAAAAAGGGGGGAAAUGUUAGGUCUAAUUGUUGAAUGUUGCCAUUGUGUUUCUUAAAUUUGUACAGUCUUAGUUUAAGCAGUAUUAUCAAAGCCAUUCCUUUGAUCCUGACAGUGGAAGGUUAGGGCAUAAUGCUGUCUUUUGGAAAAAUGUCCAUUGCCAGAUCUCUGCUAAUUGGUGGUCAUUGAUGAGCAACAUAUCGAUGCAGCUGUCCUCCACUGUGCAGCACAGUGGUUAGCACUGUUGCCCCCCAGCAAGAAGGUCCUGAGUUCAAUUCCACCAUCUGGCCUCACAUUUCUGUGGUGUGCAGUCUUUCAGGCAAACUCUGCUCAGGUGUGUGCGAAUGGACUGUUGGGGCUUUAUGCAAAGUAGGCAAUACACAACGUUUCUCUCCAUCUUGUUUGCAUUGUAAAUACAAAGAGUGAGAGAGAAAAACUCUGCAUAUCAAUUUAGUAUAUUUUCCGACAUGAAGCGGUUUUUGGUUGUGUCUGCUUAUGAUUUGAAACAGGUCUGAAAUUAGAGAAAUUCAACAAUCACUAUAUAUACAUAUAUACAUUGUGAUUGCGGUCCUCCAGCCUGAGGACCGUCCCACUCUGGAGGAGAUCCUGUUACAUCUCUGGAUGAAGUCAGGGGUAAUGUGAUGUGUAAUUUCACUGUCAGUCCAGUGAUGCUCCAAUUCAAAGUUGACAUUCCUUUGGCAAUGACUCCAUCUAGUGGUGAAAUUGCUGAACUGCAUGCUCAGUCACACAUGGAAGAAAGCAUGUGCCUAAUUUUUGGACCAUUACUGAGCUUCCACUUGAGAAUACCUUUUUGACAUUUGGGACUUUUUGUAGUCAUAUUCUCAGCCUGCACAGAUGACAAGGAACAGAGAGAUAAACAUGUCUCUCAGUGAGUCAUAAAUUUUUCAUAUAUUUUAUAUUGUACAAAUAGUUCAUAAACAGUUACAUUUUUUCCUCAAUUUGAUUCAAAAGACAAAAUGAAACGAAAAGAAUAAAUUCAAAUAAAAAUAAAAAUGUAUAAAGCCAUUGAUUGAAUUGUCAGAUCCUGCUAUUUUCUGCUGGUCAAAAUCAGGGUGCGUUCAGGCAAAAUCAGUUUGAAAAAUAUAAGUCAGUGCAGUACUGUUUAAAUACAGGGAGUUUAUUGAAACACAAAGAACUUCAACAAAGCAACAGAGAAACUAAAAAGCUUGUUAUAUAUGCAUGUAUAUAUGAAAACACAGGUUUCUAGCUAUAGCACAAUUUCCCAUGGGGCAACACCUCGCACAUGUUUUGUAGCUGUACCAAAGAGGGACGAAAUAACAAAAGAAAAAAGAGAAACAUAUUUGUCAAGAAAUUUUACCCCCCCAAAAAAGUGGCAUUUAAAACAUGAUAUUCUACUGCCUUCUGGGGGAGGGAAGGAACAACGGUUUUUCUCCUUCUUGCCCCCCUCUGGUGUACAAUUUCUUUUUUUCCCCCCCUGUCCCGCUUGGAUCUUUAGCCAUCAGAAUUGUUGUCUUAAGGCCAAGAGAGAUGCCAAGCGGAUUUACUUUACCAACUGGAUCAUCAUGGCCUUGCCAUAUUGGUCCAUUUGAUUGACCUUUAUUAUAAUUGUGUAUUUUAUUUUAUUUUCAGUUGUUACAGUCGGGACAGACAUGACUGGGAGAUAGGACAGGGAGAAAGAAUGAAAGAAAGAGAGCGAGAGAAAGGAAAAAUUGAGGGGAGAAGAGAUGGCGAGAAAGGGGAGAAGAAAGAAAGAAAAACAAAACACCUGGCUCACCUGUAUGGAGAGAAAAAACAGAAGAGACAACAAACAAACAAACAAAAAAAACAAAAAACAGCUACAUAAUAAAUACAGCACCCUCUGGUGUACAAUUUCUUCCUUUUUCCUGUUUAAAAAGAGUUCACAUAUUUUGUCAUUUGACUGUAAGCAGUGCAUGGAGGAGAUGCUCGUUUUUUGCACGACGGUCUGCCACUUCAGCCUUCCCUUUCUUUAUAAGGCUGGAAAAGGCAGGGAGGGGCCUGAGGUGGGGUCUGAACUGUGGGCACCGGUAUGAGGAGAGAAGGGGGGCAGGACUGGAUGGUGGGUUAAGGUUAGGAUUUGGUUGGGGGUGGGGGAAAUGGGAUUGAAACCCCUCCCUGCCUGAGGAGGGGUCUGAACAGUGGGGUAGACUUUUGGAAUCUCAGCUGAAACCCACAUUUGCCAGGGUAAUCUGUCAUAACUGGAACAGUGGAGGCUGGAGGUGUAAUGCCGUCUUUUUUUAAAAUGUCAUUUGGAAGCUCAGAGAUUUUCAUCAAAGUUUUCAGCUAAUUGCUGCUCAUUGAUGAUCUGAAACAUCUCCAUGGUGUCAUCUGGCCUCCAGGUUUCAUCAUGACCCGUUGUACUGCUGUUCACAGUUGAGAUAGUGUCAAAACUGACAGAGAUUCAGUCACAGGUAGCUGUUCCCACAGCUCUUUAAAUGAAUUCUGGCUGAAGGGUAGAUUCUGAUUAAAAACCAAAAUGCCAUCCUGCCUCAGUUAAAAAGGUUCCUAAAACUGUACUGCCUGAUCAGUCACUGUACACUGACAUACUGUUGUGUUCAGUUAUGUUUUUCUGUUCUUUUCUUUUUUAAAACAUUUGCUUUUGAAAAAAAAAAAAAAAACCUAUGUUCCUAAUUUGGUUAGAGCCGUUCAAGCAGUAAGGGGCCUGAGGAGGGGUCUGAACUGUGGGCAGCGGUAUGAGGAGAGAAGGGGGCAGGACUUGAUGGUGGGUUAAGGUUGGGGGUGCGGGAAAUGGGAUUGAAACCCCUCCUUGCCUGAGGAGGGGUCUGAACCGAGUGGGGUAGAGGCUGGAGUGGAAAAUGGGUUAGGGUAGAAAGGGAAGGGUGAACUGCAAGACAGUCACACAAAACGCAAUCAUCUCCUUGCACUAAAGUGGCUGCAAUCAGCUGGAGGUCCAGGCUUCAGUGGAUGAGGGUACAGGUACUCAACAGGUACAGGGGGCAGCCACGGCAUGUUGGUCAUGAACUGUUGAGAUGGAGAUGAAUAGCUGCUGGGGUAAAAACACAACAACCCAACUAUGGAAGGCUCCUCACAUACCCUCGAGGACACUGGGCAAACCGCACUCAAUGAGGGCACCUCAAGAGCCGAAAGAAACAUCCAAAAUUAUUGUUUUCAGCCUGCUAACACAAACCGAAGUGCUUUGUCCAAUGGGAAUCCAAACAGAAGCAUGAGAGGGAGAGAAAUAAAAAAAAGGAAGAAAAAUCUUUUCAUUUCAGACUGUUGAGGCACACUUGGUUGAGUGGAGCUUCAGUGGCACUGUAAACUGUCUCAAAACACAUUCACUUCAGUAAUUAUAAUCUUUUAAACGGCAGUAGAUCAAACAAGCAACAAGAAAAACUACUCUCGUUCAAUGUAACAAAAAGCACUGUAACAGCUUCAUAUAGCAGAAGCUUCUCCUGACCACUGGAGCCUAGCUGAUUCUACAAUGAACAGAAUAAACAAUAAUUGAAAGAAGAAGAACUUAUUUCUGUCCAAAGGACCCGCUGAGCAUUGGAACUUAAGAAAGGUGAAUCACACCACUACUCUCCUCCCACUUUUCAAGGCUUAUGGGGGAUGCCUCAUUUACACACUGGUUCCACUGUUCUAACAUACACAUUGCAGCUCUACUGGUCGAGUGAAUGUUGUCCUUCUCUGUGCUGAAUAUCAAAGUAGGAAGUACAGGAAUCUGUUCAUCUAAACCUGUAAUAAAGUUGUUCAGAUGCAACGAUGUGGCUUGUUCUUCACAAAGAAGGGCCUUAGAAAGAUUGCUUACUGCUCUGCCUUUAGUCCCAUUUUCAGCUCCAUCACUGGUAUUCAGUCCAAAGUUAUAAAACCAGAUUUUCCACAGUGUGCUUUCUCCAGCUGGGCCUCACCGGGUGGCAACAUUUCGCUCAUGGAAAUCUGUCGAUCUGUACCCCUCUGCUUUAUAGGACGGAGGAGUCUGUGCACAUUGGAGUCACCGAUGAUCACCGAUAUUUUCUUCACAUGAAGAUUCCAGUCCUGGAGUUUCCUCUGUGUGUUGGGGUCUCUCGUUGGAGUGCAGACCUGUCGUUCUGGUGAGGAUGGUGAGGAAGGGAGACAAGAGGAGGAGUCCUCUGUUAUUCUUGUUUGGAGGCGGGUCUGCACACAAUUUUUCAAUCUGUGUAGGUGUGUGAGUGUAACUCAAAGCUGUAUUGUUUCAGUGAGGAGUUGACACGGUUAUUCCGCUUUGUCGUUUCCCUGCUCACCUGUGGCUGUCAUUCUUGUUUACUGGGUUUGUCACUGCUGAUGUGGUAGCUGGAUUCCAGUCUGCUAGCUUGGCUAUAACCACCGCCUGGUUCUGGUCCAACGAGUCGGGCUGGAGACGGCGGCCCAGGUUCCGUUUCUCCCAGGAUGGUGCCAUCUCAAAGGGGCCUCUCUAGAAAACUGAAAACAAAUUUUAAACUCAUACUCUAUGCUUUGGUUAUAAUGGUCAUGGAGGAUAACAAUUGAUCUCUCAGCCCAGUUUUUAGCAUCUCCUCAAUUACAGUCUGUGUCCUUCUAUUGGAGAUAGCAGGUCUAUUAUUUAUUAUUUUAUCAGUCCUUUAUUUAUCCAGGUAAAAAUCUCAUUGAGAUUAAAAAUCUCAUUUCCAAGAGAGACCUGUCAUCAUUCGAACAAAAGUCACAUACCACAUAGGUAUAUAACAUUUAAAACAAAUACAAUAUCCCAUACCAACGUGUGUAAAAUAUACAAUAACAGAUCAAAUUAAGAGUACAUUAAAAACAAUCACACUGAGUAAAAGAGCUGUUCUCUCGUUCCUUUAAGACAGACUUAAACUCUCCCAAUGUAAGCAAUUCUGAUAAUUUCAGUUCCUUCUGCAGAUUAUUCCAGGAAGCAGGGGCAGCAUAUUUAAAAGCCUUUUUCCCCAAUUCUGUUCUGAUUUUUGAGACAAUCAAUUGUAUGAUAUUGUGCGAACGAAGGCUGUAUUGGUUGUGGUUUUUACACAUAAACACAUAAAUAAGAUGGAACCAGCCCAAGGAGAGAUUUCUAGAUAAAGAGCAACCAAUGGGAGAGUCUGCGAAUAUGCAAAGAUGGACAUUUAGCAGCAGCAUACAAAGAAGAAUGUUGUACACGAUUUCCAUAGCUAGUAAUAAAACGUAAAGCACAAUGGUACACAGUAUCCAACCUCUUUAGGUAGUGGGCAGGUGCAUUCAUAAAAAGCAGGUCACCAUAAUCCAAUAAAGGUAAAAAAGUUGCAUGAAUCAAGUGUUUUCUCACUUGGAGGGAGAAACAGGAUUGGUUUCUAAAAAAGUAACCUAGUUUUAGUUUGAACUUCGACACAAGCCUUUGAAUGUGAGUCUUAAAUGACAAAUUCUGAUCUAUAAUGAUCCCUAGAUACUUGUAAGAUGUGACCAUUUCAAUUUCAGUUCCUUGAAUUGUUUUAAUCUUAGGAGACGUAGCUAACAACUCUUUGCCAUUUGAGAAUAACAUGAACUUGGAUUUCUCUGGAUUUAACACCAACUUAAGUUGAGUUAAAUGGGACUGAACGACAUCAAAGGCAGACUGCAGAAAUUGCAGGGUUUGUGCUACUGAAGGGGAUGAACAAUAAACUAUUGUUCAUCAUUAUUGUCUCUUAUCAUUAACAGAAAUAAGAAUAGUCUAAUCAAAGUUACUAAAUUUGUGGUUAUUCUUAUUCAGAAAUUGAUGAUAACUGUCUUCUGAAACAUUUUUCAGAUGAUCAACCGCUUUAAUAAGUCUGUAAAUUUUAAUAAAAAAAAAAAGUGUGGAUCAUCCGAUUGUACUCUAUUCCUCCGAGGUUCAGCUCUUUCAUUCAGGGUGGAUUUUACCUAUCGUUUGUCUCUGGCCACUCCUCGAUCAAAUCUCCGAUCUCCACCAGUCUGUACAAGGUAACAGAUCGUGUUGUUUUUUCAUCUUAGGCUUCUUCUGGGUUAGGCCUUCCUGUUGUUCAUGGUGCAAGAUGGGUGCCUUUGUUGACCUAGGAGGGAGAGCUGGAGACAGGUAUUCUGAAAUUGCCUUCUUUCUUUCUUUCUUUCUUGUUUUUUUUUUAAAGUAAUUUAAGAUGGGCUACGUAAAAGGUAUUUGCACAUACCAAGGCAACUCUUUGGAUUCCGCGUCCAUAAACAUCCCACAGUUCUGAAACAUGGUUUUCUCCACACAGAGGAUGGGAGAGGAGGAGGGGUGAGGAGGGGAGAGCCAGAUGGGGAGGGUUCUGUGGGCUCACAAAAUGGAGGUGGUCUGGUCUGAUGGAUUCCUCAAGCAAACGUGUGCGGUGGCAUUUUUAUUUUCACAUAAAUAACAUUUGGGUGGAAGGAAUCGGAUCCACCGUAAGGCUUCUUUUUAAACAUUUUUUCCCCGUUGUCGUAGCCGUUAACUUUUUAAGUGUUGUGUCUAUCCCGGUACUGUUUAGUGGAAGUUCUCAACAAGAGAAAACUUGUUUUUCUCCACACCAAACUCCACACAAAGGAAGGGAGAGAAGGAGGGAUGAGGAGGAGGUGAGGAGGAGGGGUGAGUGGGGAGAAGGGAGGCUGAAAUAUUCACGUCCCCUCAUAGACACUCAAGUUUUAAAGUUUCCUUUUAAAUCUUUGAAAAAGAUUGAUGGAGUUUUAUUUGCGCCCUCAAACUUUACAACACAGACCAAACAUGGGCAUAUUAACCGGACCCUGGCACAAGAACUGCCAGACAGUCACCAAAAAGCAAUCAUCUCCUCCUUGCGAGAGAGGAGGUGAGGAGGAGGGGUGAGUGGGGAGAAGGGAGGCUGAAAUAUGAACAGGGAAAUGAAUUUAGACCCCUCCCUGCCUAAAGGGAGGGGCACAGGUAAGGAGGUGAGGACGAGGGGGGAGAGGGGAGAAGCGGAUUACCAUGGAGAGUAAAAAUGUCAGAGGGCAGGGCAGGAGGCAGCCCUCUGACUUUUUUUUUUUUUUUUUGCUUUACCAACUGAAAACUUUACUCUCCAUGGUAAUCCGCUGUUACCGGGACAGUGGAGGGUUGGGGUGUAAUGCCGUCUUUUUGCAAACUGUCCGUUGCCAGAUUUCUGCUAAUUGUUGGUCAUUGAUGAGCAACAUAUCGAUGGCGCUAUCUGUCCUCCAUAUCUCUUUCCUCUUCUGCUCAUCUCCUCUGCCCCGCAUGCCUUUUAGAUGCAUCCUACAAGUGUAGAGCAACACAUAAUCAGUUACUGCUCGUUAGGGUUUGUAAUAAAAAGUAUACUAAAAGACUGUUAGUUCAGUCUUUCCUGUUCUUGUCAUCUUCUCUGCUCCUCAUGAUAAAAGAUUUUUUUUAAAAAGUCUUACCUGUUUGUUUCCGACAUGAAGCGGUUUUUGGUUGUGUCUGCUUAUGAUUUGAAACAGGUCUGAAAUGAGAGAAACAGGAGAUUUUUCCUGGGGAAUUAUAAGACAGUGGCGUCCCGUUUUCCUUCUCAUUAAUCAUAUGAGAAGAAUGAAGGCGUUUUAAAGAUUUUUGAGUUGAGGUUAGUCCUUCUGCAGCUAUCAGUUUUCUAAAGACUUCGUCCUCCUCAUACUGCAGACUGUUUAGGAAACUUGGCUCAGAGCUGCUGAAGUUCUUGACUGUCGUACAUUUGUGGUUAGUCUGAUGAAACUCAUUUUCAGUGUACUGACUGAAAGUGAACAGGGUCCUGACUCCACGUCUGUGGUAGAGGUUGACUGUCAUCUUGUGUAAAGGUGGCAUCAGAGACCCUCCUCUUAUUCUGUGGUGGUUCACACUUUCCAGGCUUCUCUUCUUCAGAUUCACAGUAUACAUUUUGUAAAGUUGAAUGGUUUUCUGAAUGUGCCUGCCAUAAUUCUGUUUCCUUCUCAGUCACAUUUCUAAUUUUACACUCGUCAACUAAAACGGGCUCAAAGUCGGAGUUUUCAAGACCAACAAUCCGCCCUCGUUUUUUCCCUGACGCUGUGGCUGUCGGUGUAGCUGAGUCAGAUAAGAUAAGAUAAAACUUUAUUAAUCCCUCGGGUGGGUUCCUCUGGGAAAUUCGGUAUGAUGAUGAAAGAGGCUGCACUGAAUCCAUGUUUGGUGGCUCACAAGUGCACAUCUUAUUGAGAACUCUCCGAGGAGCUGUGAAAAAGGCAGAUAUGGAGCUCUGUUUUUUUGGCAUUUCUGUUUUGGUCUGAGUGAAGUUGAGUGCCACAGCCAAACUGUAUCCAGCACCUUCACAAAAGUGGUUCAGCAGUUUAGAAAUGGGUGUCAAAUGCAGUAUUUCUCUCCGAGCUGAGGGCCACGAGUCACCUUUCCGGCUCCAGAAGGUCCAAGCAGUAUGGCCCAAAUAACAAACAAAAACAUGAGUGCUGACAUAUGGCUGUAUGCAUGAAUAAAAAAAAAGAAGAAGAAAAGAAAUAACAUGCUGGUGCAAAAAUAUCCCAAACACAUUCCCAGAUUGCCUAACUUUUCAUCUCCAGGCUGCAUGAAUUUGAUUUAUGAGACUAGAAUUACAUUAAUAUAGGAUCCCAGUGUGUGCACUUCACAGCAGGCAGAGACAGCAACUUGGCCACAAAAUGGCAUAAGGGAUGGUUUCUUCAGGGGACAGACUGCAUGUUAUAAACUAAACCAUGAAAAUGUAGAGUUUCACCAUCGUUGACAGCAGUUUUGUCUUAAACUCAUAUAUUUUGCAGUGAUACUACACACCGAUAUAGUGUCACUAAAAAGGCACAAGGUACCAGAUCAUGUUGUUUUGUCAUGUUAGGCUUCUUCUAGUGUCGGCCUUCCUGUUGUUUGUGGUGGAAGAUGGGUGCCUUUGUUGACCUAGGAGGGAGAGCUGGAGGUGCUUGGUCCAUUUUAAUGCAGAAUAAAUACAUCACACAGUCAAAAAUGUGUUGAUCUCAAAUUCCAUCCAUCUUCUUCUGCUUCUCCAUGGCCCGGUCCCAGUGCCAGCAGUCCAAGAAAAAUUAAAGCAAGGACAAAAGGAAUGUGACACGUUCAGGUAGUCUGUUAUAAUGAUAACCCAGAGAUGUGCUCUUAACUCUGGUGGGAACUAACAGGUAUUCUGAAAUUGCCUACUUUUUUUUUUUCUUCUUUCUUUAAAUGCAAUUUAAGCUGGGCUACGUAAAAGAAUUUGCACACGCCAUGAUAACUCUCUGGAUUCCGGGUCCAUAAACAUCCCACAGUCAAAAAUGUGGUGUUCUGAAAUUGCCUUUAUAAAUAGAGACCAUUUUCAGACAUAGCAGUCUUGAAAAGCCAUGCCCUUCAUUUCUCCUCUGCAACCGUAACCCUGUGAUGGCAGCCUCUUCCCCUCUCUUUCUCUGUUCUCAGCUGAAGCUCCAUGUCCUAUUUCUUCAUGAAAACUGAAAUCUCUGUCAGAGUCAUGGAGAUCUUCUCUGCAGUCCCUGCAUCUUUUAUGGGAGCGCUUCUGAACUCCUCUCAGGCUCUUUUACUGGGUCUUGUGUGUCUUUGAGUCUCUGGUUUUUAAAUGCACAGAAUAAAAUACAAAAAAAAAAAAACUUGAAAGAGAUUUCCCUGGCAUGGAUUUUAUAGCAGAUAACCUUAAAAAUGUUCUGCAAUUAUACAAAAUUUGAAAAAGUUUACAUUUCUUCAGUAUUGAACUGCAGAAAAUAAGCCUUCUUGUCCGAGGUCAUUUAAGUACAAAGAAAAUAAAACACAGCGGCCGCCAGCGCUAUAAACAUCGGUAGACUGAUGGGUAAUAAGCGAAUGAACUAGAAAGCGAAAAUUUCAGAAGAAAUUUUAAGUGUGGCUAUGCCGCUGGUAAUCAGUGUAGUUUGCCAUUCAUACGGCUGCUUAGGGCAAAACUCAGAAGAGCAGCCAUUCUCCACCAUGAACUAUGGUAAAAACAAACACCGCUCACGCUUCACAGAUGACAGCUUACAGUUUUGUGUAAAGAUGAAGUUACUUCGUACCGCGCCGAUUUGCAGAUGCUGUGCACACAGGUUCAUGAGCAGAAGUCCCAUUGUACCACGGCAGACCCGACAAUGUUUGCACGAACACGCUUUGAAGCAUUAUGUUAUGGACCACUUUUCACACAUGGUUGGUUUACCCACACAGCCGGCUGUAGCUUUUCAACUUACAGCCCGACACACACCUUAAAAACAGCCGAGAGAGCACAGACUACGCCCGAGAGUCGUGAUUGCAGAUGCUGCUCAGGUGGGUCCACUUCCCCUGCAGCGGCACUGCAGACCACGCCCCGCCACACACAUCAAACACGUAAAAUAAAUAUUUAUGCACUUUUGCAUUCACUUUUUGGUUUUUGUUAUUUUUACACAGUGCUCUGAAUGAUGAACAAUGGUCUACAGCCAAUCUUGUGUAUUAUUAUACAAACUUUGGCUGUAAGAUUCAGAUAACUAUUUAAUAAAAGCUAAAUAUUUUAUAGCGCUAUAUAAAUCCAAUGCAUUAUUAUUAUUAUUAUUAUUAUGAUGAUGAGAGAAAGAAAUCAAAGUAUAACUUUGUGUCCACCUUUCCCUGUUAAUGCCCUACCUGGCCCCCUGGCAAAAGGGGGGCCAGCUAGCGGCGCUGUCGCUACCCGAUCCGUACCACAAACCCGAUCGGUACCCUGCAUGCGCAAAUCUUACGUCACUUCCUCUCUUUGCCAGCAUUGCGACAUUCAAUAUAUUUGAAUGAUACAGUUAGUGGGCAGCACGGUGGUUAGCACUGUUGCCGCACAGCAAGAAGGUCCUGAGUUCAAUUCCAACAUCAGGCCGGGGUCUUUCUGUGUGGAGUUUGCAUGUUCUCCCCGUGUUUGCGUGGGUUCUCUCCGGGUACUCCGGCUUCCUCCCACCGUCCAAAGACAUGCAACUUGUGGGGAUAGGUUAAUUGGAUAAACCAAAUUGCCACUAGGUGUGAAUGUGCGAGCGAAUGUGAGUGUGAAUGGUUGUCUGUCCUUGUGUGUUGGCCCUAUGACAGCUGGGAUAGGCUCCAGCGCCCCCCGCGACCCUGAAAAGGAGAAGCGGAAGCGAAUGGAUGGAUGGAUACAGUUAGCGCCCAGUUAGCUCCUAGCAUUUCUCAACAGCUCUGCCUCCUUUUCGACUACCGGGACAUUUAAACAAUGGAUAAUCCGUAUACAAACAAAUUCAUGCUUUUCUCCUCAACAGACAGCGUCCCCCGAUUGAACAAAAGCUCCGUAAAAUAAUAAGAAUGGCGCCUAAUUACAGACUUAAUAAUACAGACUUUGUAAUAGGUCACGUGAAGAUUCAUCAGCCAGAUUAAGUGUUUACUGACAAUUGACAGUGAUAGCGGACAUCAUCAUCACUAUUCCAAUCAAUCCUCUCCACACAGACAAGCAUAAACACACUUGACUAUCGCUAAAUCAAAUUUAACACGCAUUUGAAAUGACGCUAAUUCAGUUUAUAACAGGGUUCAUUCGCUCCGUCAGCAGGUGGCGGUAUCCUCGUACACUGGGGAGUAAACUGCCAUUAAACGAACAGAAGAAGAAGAAAACAUCUGCACAUGCGCGGUACGGAUCGGGUAGACCCGAUUUGUAAGGUCGGACUGUGCACAUGCGCAGUAAGGAUCGGGGAGUCCUGAUCCGUAACUAUCUUUCUAUUUUUCGUUUUUGUCUACAUUGUACUGAAAUGCUUCAUUAUUGCAAACGUUUGAAGAUAUACUUAUUAUUCUUAACAUCUUAACAGAUACUCUGACCCGUAACUAUCGUAAAACGCUUCGACCGGAAGUAGACACCUUUCGCGCAUGCGGGGUACCGAUCGGGUUAGCUAGCUAGCCGGCUAUCAGCAACAUCGUCAGAACACUGUUGCUAUUAUGGGAUGUUUUCACAAAACGAGCAGAUAUUUGAAGUCUACACACCUACAUUCUCGCCUGAAAAUAUCUUAAAAGUUUAUUUUGUGACCUAGAAACACUAAUAAAAUACAUUUAAAACGAAGAGGUGUCCGCCAUUGUUUAACUCGGCAGAGGUGUGCUAUGAAUUGUGGGAUAUGGAGUUUUCCGUUACCGUAACUAUUCAAUGGUUCGCGCAACCUUAAAACUUCCAAUGGUUCCUGAAAGCAGAGACGCUGUGCGCGCCAUUGAUAUUGUCGUCAUUACGGUAAUCCAAAUAAGGGUAGACAGGCCGUACCACUCCCGGCAUACCACUAGAGAGAGCCAACACACCACAAAUGAAGCCUUCCCAUUCAUUUCAAUGGGCAAAAACUUGCAUUAAAAUAUUCAUAUUUAAAAAAAACUAUAGAAGUAAUAAACACCAGAAGUAAUAAACACCAAAAGUCAUAGCACACCAUUCCUGAUUCAGCCGCACAAAAUGAUAUACCAUAUGUGAAGCUUGUCUCAAAACUGUGGAAUAGUAAUAAGUAUUUAAGUCUUACUCUCAACAAGCAGCGGCGCUGCCAUGGGCACUUCACCCGUGCCAAAGCGCUCACAGGCGGAGGAUAGUCCUCCCCCAGCUGCUAUCAGGGCAGGAGACGUUCACACCUAUGCCUCCAAACGGCAAAUGAAUCGCGCAAGAGCGAAGCCGCUGCUCCCGCACUGACUGUAACGCAGUCGUGCCAAUUUCGGGUCACUCUUGCCGGUCCAAACCCGGAUAAAGGAGCAGGGUUGGAAUUGUGACAUUAAAAAACAAUUAUUACUAAAAGAAAUUUAAUUUGUAGUUCUAAAUAAAUUCUAACUGCAUUUAGGACGUUUUUUACUCACUUUAUGUCUCUUCCACGAUGUUACUUCUCUCUCCAACAACGUAGGUUACAAUUACAUCAGCG
ensembl:lncRNA